rnacentral:lncRNA from 1 species
GUAUACUGUGCUAUGCUCACCUAGGAGUGUUAUAACUGGAUUUUUCUUUUCUUUUCUUUUCUUUUUGGUGUUAUCUUUUAAUCAUGUACCUUUUACUUUUUUUAUGUUGCUUUUAAAAAAUACAAGUAUGAGCCUAAUGGCUCUUGAACUCCAAUUGAGCAUAAAAACAAAGAUAUCUAUAUCUAUGUCUAACUCUGUCUAUCUAAAACUGGCCUCCCGUAGAUACUUUUUUCUUAUCCAGAUUUGGAUCUCUUGGUGAAAUUCCUGACUUGCUUGUGACCCUUGCAUUUUAGUACACCUGCUUUCAGAACCAGAAAUGUAAAUUGUUUUUCAAUCUAUGUCUCUAUCAGAAAGUGACAGACACUACUUGACCAACAUAAAAAUUGCCGUCACUAUACCUGUGUGUUCUUGGGUCUCAAAGGGAGUCUCUGAAUCCCUCACAGAGCUUCACUGUGUCCCUAUGUCACCCAACAUGUUGUUCUGAGCAUGUGCUCUGAGGUGGAAGCUCUUCUAGGUUCCAGAGUCAAGCAGUGAACUCAAAAGAUGAUCAGACACAGCCUGCUUGCUCCCAUUUUCCACAAUCACUAUCACAUUUUGUUUGUUUUCCUGUUGAAGAAGCUCUCUGCAGCCUCCCUUGCUCUCCAGGGGCAGAAAAGACCCUUAGUUUUUCCUCAGGGUCUUUGACCCUGGGCUCCACCAUCUACAAGCCAACCUAGACCCUGGCUUGAUUUUACCUCCAUUUCAAACAUGGAGAGCCCCCAUCCCCUUACUCCAUUGAGAACCCUUUCCAUAAUGUUCAGACUGUCUUCCAGGGAAUGGUAAACACAUGCACAUCUUUCCUAUCUGAAAAUCUGUGAGUGUUGAGCGUGCAGAAGUGUGUGUGUGUGUGUGUGUGUGUCCCUGUCUGGAUUCUGCACCCCUUUGAAGUUUUCCUCAGGUUUCUCCCUUCCCUUGACAGAGUUCUUGAAAAGAUGUCUGCAUGUGUGGUCUCUGCCUCCUUGCCUUCUGGUUACUUUUUGUCUCCCAGCUCUUCCCUUCUAUUUCUGCUAUAUCACUGAAAUUUCUCUAGGCAAAGAGUUUGUUUGUUAGUUUGUUUAUUUAUUUAUUUAUUUUGCUUGCUUGAAUCCCCUUUUCCAGUUUUUCCUCCUUUGCCAGCUCUUCUUCUGUCUUUUCCUCAUAUGCUGUUGUUCCCUUUCAUCUCCUUUAUCCUGCACCUGGUCCCUGGCUAAUUGAAUAAUGACAAUAAUGACUAUGAAUGCACCAACCUGCUCUCACUUUCCGUCUCAGACCGACCGAUCUACCUCUCACACUCCAGGAUAGUCCCCAGCCACUUUUUAAACAUCUCCAUUUGAAUAUCUUCAGACUUAACAUACCUCACAGUCAACACCAAUAUAUAUAUGGUACAAUUUUAAACCAAACUGUUUUUUUACGCCUAGAUUUUUUUUCCUAGCUAAUGGUUCCAGAAAUCAGGAGUUACACUUGACUCUUCUCUUCCCUUCUGUGCCUCAACCGUGUUUUGUCAACUCAGGUUAACUCUAUCCCUAUAGUUCCUUAAAAUCACCUGCCUGACCCCACUGACCCUGCAAGAUUAUCUUCUCAUUUCUAAUACGGAAAAAUUGGAGGUAUUUUGUUUUCUACAGUUUCAACAAUAUUGAGCCACAUGCAUCUCUCAAAUGGUCAUAUUCUUGUUUCUAUGCCUUUCUACUAGUUAGAACAACCUUUCUUUUUCUUUCUCUCUCUCUCUCUUUUUUUUUAAUUUGUCUCACCUAACAUGUGCUAAACAUUCUUCAAGACAGCACAGGGAUUACCCUGACUUCCUCCCUCUGCUCUGUACUUUAUACUUCCACCCCUUAAAGCUCCAUUUUAUAAGUCUGAAUUGAACAUGGAAUAUUCCAUUCAUUUGCGCCUCUGUUUCCUUAUCUGUAAAAUGAGGUUAAUAAUAGCAUCUAUCUUAUAAAAUUGUUAUGAGAGUUGAAUGACCAAAUACUUAUAGCCACUUGUAUCGUGCCUGUAAAAAUAGCAAGCACUUUGUAAAUGGUUGGCAAUGAAUAAAAUAAAACAUGGAGAUAAUUUAUGUUGGUGAUGAGAAACAGCCUUUGGAAUCCCAUAGACCUGUAUUUAAAUCCUGGAUCUUCCUUUUAGUAUCUUGAACCUUGAGCCAGUUACACAAACUUUUUGAAACUUUUCUAGUCUAUAAAAUGAUCAAAAUGCAUCUUAUGAGGUUCUCUAUGAAGAAGAGAUGAUGCCUAGGAGGUAUCAGCUCAGCUCUGGUCAUUCCUAUUCCACUAGCAUCUUCGGUUUAUCAGAGUCCCAGCAGUUAACACACUACAUCAUAACUAUGAUUUUAUUUAGUAGCAAAUUGUGUUAUUUGAUUUUCAUCUGUGCAGCUAAGGUCGAGUCUGUCAUGUAGGCAAAUGCUUACAAAGUUUUCUUGAAUAAACAUUUAACCACCAAGGCCUUGUCUCUUGAUUCCUGUGCUGCUCAAGAAUGAACAUUGUAUUUAUUCAUUCACUUUGUUUCCUCAUUUCCUAUUACCUCACCAUUUUUAAAAAGUCGUCUGUGGCUAAUACAUGUGAUUCUAACCUCUCCUAGGGACCAGAGUGCACCAUUCAUACUUUGACCAUUGCCCAU